GAUGAAGAACGUAGCGAAAUGCGAUAAGUAAUGUGAAUUGCAGAAUUCAGUGAAUCAUCGAAUCUUUGAACGCACAUUGCGCCCUCUGGUAUUCCGGGGGGCAUGCCUGUUCGAGCGUCAUUACAACCCUCAAGCUUUGCUUGGUAUUGGACAUUGCCAGUUUCUGGCAGGUCUUAAAAUCAGUGGCGGUGCCAUCUGGCUUCAAGCGUAGUAAUUCUUCUCGCUUUGGAGAUCCAAGUGGUUACUUGCCAAUAACCCCCAAUUUUUUCAGGUUGACCUCGGAUCAGGUAGGGAUACCCGCUGAACUUAAGCAUAUCAAUAAGCGGAGGA
rnacentral:misc_RNA from 1 species